rnacentral:lncRNA from 1 species
UUAUAAAUUGCAUGAGGGAUGGUUAUGGAUCAAAAACACUCAUAUGAUGGAUGUAUCUAUGAAUGUGUCUGUGAUGGCUGAAUCUUUCUGUUCUUACUUUUGUAUGUUCCCAACUACUGAUUGAGACUUUUACAUAUUGAUGUAAAUUAAGGAUAAAAAAUUUUAUUUAUAAAUAGAUAGAAAUUAUUUCUUUGUAUUAAUAAAUAAAAAAAAGAUGGAGUAUUCAUCAAAGCCUUCAUGGAGAUGAAGAUUGAACUACUAGCG